rnacentral:lncRNA from 1 species
CGCAGAAAGAAGGAACUUUGGGCUAGCUGAAUCACAACCAGAAAUAGAUGAGUGCUAUGAAGAAAUGCUAGCGGAACUUGCUCAGGAAACAUCUUCACCAGGAAGUGGUGAUGAACAAGCUUCAUUUCCACCACCGCCAACACAACCACCUCCAAACCUUGAAGGUUUAUUAGAUUUGUUAGAAAUAAUACAUAAACUAUGAUGUAACUUGUACAUUGGCAUGUCUUUUUUUAGUUUUUUU